CCUACGGGGUGCACCAGUAGGGAAUUUUCCGCAAUGGGCGAAAGCCUGACGGAGCAAUGCCGCGUGGAGGUAGAAGGCCCACGGGUCGUGAACUUCUUUUCCCGGAGAAGAAGCCCCGGCUAACUUCGUGCCAGCAGCCGCGGUAAUAUGAAGGGGGCUAGCGUUGUUCGGAAUUACUGGGCGUAAAGGGCGCGUAGGCGGUUUAUGCAGUCAGAUGUGAAAUCCCCGGGCUUAACCUGGGAACUGCAUUUGAGACGCAUAGACUAGAGGUCGAGAGAGGGUUGUGGAAUUCCCAGUGUAGAGGUGAAAUUCGUAGAUAUUGGGAAGAACACCGGUGGCGAAGGCGGCAACCUGGCUCGAUACUGACGCUGAGGCGCGAAAGCGUGGGGAGCAAACAGGAUUAGAUACCCGGGUAGUC
rnacentral:rRNA from 1 species